UCUCUCCCCGUCAGCCUGGGAGCUUCCUCAGGAAGGACCACUGAUUGGGAAAAAACCCACAGAGCUUCCAGCUGGCAGGAGAAGCAGGGGCUGGCCACAGCGCUGCCCCAUGGGUGAGCCUCCUCCAGCUGUACUGCUGGGGACAGGACGCUUCUCCACCAAGUGAAGAGGGCAGCGUCUCUGGCGAUGGCAUGAUGCAAGGAGCAGUGUUUAUGUCCAGGAAAGUCCCCAAAUUACAAAGCACAGUGCAAACAGAGAAAGGGCGGACACUCCGGCCAGCAGGAUAGAGGAAUAGGGCCAGACCCUCAGAAGGACGAAGGACGAAGCAGUACAGCUGUGGUCCGAGAUAUGUGUGUCCUCUGGACACUGCGCACCCCGAGAGUGACUCCCAGGCCACUCAGGCUUGACAGUGUGGCCGGACGCAAAAGGAAAUCUAUGGUACCCGGUGGAGAGAGGAGACACCACACCCUAAGUCAACUCCACCGGCACCGCAGCGGUAGGCAGGUGCAAGGAUGCCGGACGUGCGCGAGCCAGAGGGACAGAGCUCUCAGUCUGUGACUGAACAUAGGGCCCAAAGAGGAGAGACCGCAUUUCCCUGCCUUCCAGCAGAAGCUAGGAGCAUGCAGCUCGACUGUGGACCUCCAGGCCGUGGACCGGUACCUCCUGUCGGAUCAGCGGCGACAUUAGAUUGGAAAUAAAGAGCAUGAUAAGUGCA